UUGUCGCAUUGACGUUCGAUUUACUCGUUUGUUGAGUGUUAACAACAAAACUUUUGUUGUUAACAUUUGAGAUUUAAGGAAGUUUCAAAAUUUAUUAUCAUUGGCAGACAAAUUUCUCUUCAUAUUCGUGAGAAAACUAUAAAAUUAUACAAUAAAGCUAAACUUUUCCGUCAUUAUAAAUGGGAACCAUCGCACCGUAAAAAAAUCUUGAAUAAAUAAAUAAAAAGCAAUAAAAAGCUUAAACAAUUGGUGGAAGAUUCUGGAAGACCACAAAGUCUUUCAUGAGCCGAAAAAAACCCUUUGGAAAGUGCAGUGAAAAUAGCACAUGGGUCAAAGGAGAAAGAUGCAUGUAUAUGUGUCAGAACACCGAGAAAGAAAGCCGCUAAUAUCCCGUUGUUAAAAGCGAAAAAACUAUGUAUGGAGCCAAGUGGUGUUGGAAAAUUGGUGUUCAUUGAGAAUACAAUGAAUAAAAUAGACGAAUCUGCGAGUGUUGAGAAUUUGUGCUGAGAUUGAACAUGGAUUUUCCACUAUGAUCCUAAGCUUAUGGCUCAAGAUGUUAGGGAGUGGCUACUUUAUAAAACGCCAAAGCAGUUGGAUUAUCCUCCACAGUCGUCCAAUCUUAAUUCGAUUGAGCAUAUGUGGGAGCAUCUUAUCCGAAAAAUAAACAAGUCGGGAAACCGGAGCUAAAUGCUUCAGUUUGGUAGGAACAUACUCUAUGCAAGUAAACCAAAUAUUAGAUUAAGCAUGAAUCGUUUACAUCAAACGUGGCUUCAACAUAUUUUUCCAUCAUAUCUGUGUAUACUUCCUUUUGACGCGAG